CUUGUUCCCGUUCUCUUUGUGCUUUUGCCGCGCUGUACAACCCGUUAUGUAAUGUCUAUCUUUGCAUGUUGUAUAUUUAUGAUGUCUGCGACGCCAUCCAUAACGCAUAAAAGUAUCUUUCAGCUACAUAUAUCUACUGUAUUCUGGUAAGCAAUCGACUUCUCGCCCGGAGGUCACAAUCUUCCUGUGGAACAUACCACUCGCACCGUAACCAUGAGAACCGCAUGUUGUUUAUUGAGCUUACUACCCAGAACCGCUCUAUUGGUCGCGUUAACCAUAUUACUGCCAUUUAAUUAGAGUAGUACCCACGGAAUAAACCUUGCCAAACAUGAGCUCCUGCGCCUUGUCAUACAAAGACAAUACACCCGCGCUCGCGACACCUCGCAAGAUGUUGGCACCGGCACCCUUGAACAAUGAUCUCGAGCCCUCCUUGGCGACGAUCUGCGAUGCAGCAUCGAACAUGGACUUGUAGUGCACCGUACCACCGGAAGUCAUCAUCAUACGACGACGGAUAGUGUCAAGGGGGUAAGAAACAAAGCCGGCGGCGGUGGUGACAGUCCAGCCAAGGAGGAAGGAAGCGAUGAAGUUGCCUUCAAGAGCACCAACGAGAACGACAGGCUUGACAGAAUCGUCUGUAAGAUAUAAGCGAAGGCUUUCACUCAAUUAUUGAAGAGCCUUACAAAGACCAAAGUAAAGACCUCGGUAGACAACUAUACCAGCCACAGAAGGGAUGAAGCCGCGAUACAGACCGAUGAGACCGUCGGAAGCCAAAGUCUUCUUGUAGACGUCGAGAAGCCCGUUGAAUUGACGGGUACCACCCUUGCCUGCAGAUUUGUUGUCAUUGGCGAGACGAGUUCGAGCAUAGUCAACAAACCAUUUCCAGUACCCUUCAGAUCUUUUGAAACCGAAUAAGGUCUUAAAGUAGUCCUUAAAUGCAAAGUUAAGUGCUUGGGUAGGGAAAUAUCGGAUGACAUUGGCUGUGUUUCCUCGCCAGAGAGAGAUGAGGCCUUCGUCCUUACAAUUGUUAAGAAGAGUAUGGCCUACAUCUCAUCUUGGUUCUGAAUCAAAAGUUUGACACGCUCAAUCGGGGCGGCUGCCGUUUUGGAAAUGGCUGCAGACACACCACCCAUUAAGAAGUUUGUUAGGAAGCCAGAGACAUCUGUGUCGGUUGGUUUUUUGACAGUAGAUUCUUGCACUUUGGACAUCUUUACUGUUUAAGGGACGGCUGUCACCAUUCGGUUAUGACAAGUAUAUGCAUUUUCAAAAGGCACUACUUACAAGGCUGGAGAAAUAAUCAAUAUUGGUCACUUCUUGUCUAUCACAGAGGGCUGGUAACGUCAGCGAAAAGUGUCGUCGGUACCGUGAUCAAGUCAAUAUACCUGGUAGCGAAUUGCGACGGAAACUGUUACAAUGAUUAGGAUGGGGUAGAAGAAGAAAUAUGAUGAGAGUGGAGAUGGAAAUGGAUCAAUAAUCAACACUCAUAUUUCGUCAUCCUUAGUACGAUAGACUCACGGCGGCACACAUGAUGUAUAACUGCUCAUAC
rnacentral:sRNA from 1 species